GAUGAACGCUGGCGGCGUGCCUAAUACAUGCCAGUCGAGCGAACAGACGAGGAGCUUGCUCCUCUGACGUUAGCGGCGGACGGGUGAGUAACACGUGGAUAACCUACCUAUAAGGCUGGGAUAACUUCGGGAAACCGGAGCUAAUACCGGAUAAUAUAUUGAACCGCAUGGUUCAAUAGUGAAAGACGGUUUUGCUGUCACUUAUAGAUGGAUCCGCGCCGCAUUAGCUAGUUGGUAAGGUAACAGCUUACCAAGGCAACGAUGCGUAGCCGACCUGAGAGGGUGAUCGGCCACACUGGAACUGAGACACGGUCCAGACUCCUACGGGAGGCAGCAGUAGGGAAUCUUCCGCAAUGGGCGAAAGCCUGACGGAGCAACGCCGCGUGAGUGAUGAAGGUCUUCGGAUCGUAAAACUCUGUUAUUAGGGAAGAACAAAUGUGUAAGUAACUAUGCACGUCUUGACGGUACCUAAUCAGAAAGCCACGGCUAACUACGUG
rnacentral:rRNA from 1 species